CAGCAGCCGCGGGAAUACAGAGGGUGCAAGCGUUAAUCGGAAUUACUGGGCGUAAAGCGCGCGUAGGUGGUUCGCCAAGUUGGAUGUGAAAUCCCCGGGCUCAACCUGGGAACUGCAUCUAAAACUGGCGAGCUAGAGUAUGGUAGAGGGUGGUGGAAUUUCCUGUGUAGCGGUGAAAUGCGUAGAUAUAGGAAGGAACAUCAGUGGCGAAGGCGACCACCUGGACUGAUACUGACACUGAGGUGCGAAAGCGUGGGGAGCAAACAGGAUUAGAUACCCCGGUAGUCCCUGUCUCUUAUAC
rnacentral:rRNA from 1 species